UAUUAUUCUCUCUCCUAAAAAACCCUAGCCACCGCCCCUUGCAAAGAGAAGAGUUUUUCUCUCAUUUUCGUAUUCUAUCUUAGGGCAAACCAAUUAAUCUAGCAGUUAAUUUGUUUGUGAUUCCCGUCCUGCUUUUGUGUGGAUACUGUCUUGUUCAAUUUUGCCUUGAAUCGAUUUGCGAAGGCCAAAUCCGAAUCCGUUUGAAGGAGCCACCAAUGCAGGUGCUUAAAAAAUAAUAUUUGGGUGAAGAAUAAUGUCGGCGAGGAAAUUUUUGAUGGCUAAGAACAAAUAGUUUGUGAAUCAAAGUUGAAACGAGGAAGCUAUGGCAUUUCAAGUAUCAUUGGUCAUGCUGAGUCAAGUUCAGCCAGCUCGCACAUGUGCACACGAGUUUGAGACAAAAAGGGGUGGUGCAACAUUCAAAACCUUGCAUCGCAGUGGUGAUGGCUCGAGUUUGUAUCAGAUAUGAAAAAGGACAAGCGUCGCGUCAUUACAAAUUGCACAUUGCGGCAGUGAGGCUACAGGUGUGUAAACAGAAUAAGACGGACGUGGCAUCAAAAAAGGAACGUUACUGCCCGCGUGGAGGAAUCUGAAAUGUAGGUGUUUUCUGAUAAGUUUUAUUCCAAUUUUCUUAGUUUAAUUCACCUAUAAUUGUUUCAAAAGUACCCCUAAAACGCUAGCACUAUAAAUAGAUGUCUUUAGCAAUUUUUAGAAAAAGAAGGAAUUGUGGUACAAAGGAGGAGACAAAAGAAUAAAGAAAGGAAGGAAGCAAUUCGGAAGUCUUGCAGCAACACCAUCGAUCAACCCAAUUUACCUAAGCUUUUCCACUCUCUUCUAUUGUUUGUUCUCAUGAAUACUAUUCUAGAUUUAUUAUUUUCUAUGGAUAACUAAUUUUCCUGUGAUUGGGGGUGAUUUCAAAGCUCUAUACAUGUUUUGGGAUAAUUUAUAGAAUCUGCAAUUUCCUUUCUUACUA